rnacentral:snoRNA from 1 species
AACUAUUACAGUCGAUGAGGAUAGGUUAUAGUUAAGUCAUCCGUUGAAGAUCCCUUUGUACGUUCUGGUUUUUCUUUGACUUCUUUGUCAUAGAUCAACGGGUUCGUCGGGCGCUGUGGAUUGUAUCGUGACCUUUCACCACCUUAUAGCGAUACUGCUUACGUCUACUGAGGCUG